rnacentral:rRNA from 1 species
AUUGAACGCUGGCGGCAGGCCUAACACAUGCAAGUCGAGCGGAUGAAGGGAGCUUGCUCCUGGAUUCAGCGGCGGACGGGUGAGUAAUGCCUAGGAAUCUGCCUGGUAGUGGGGGAUAACGUCCGGAAACGGGCGCUAAUACCGCAUACGUCCUGAGGGAGAAAGUGGGGGAUCUUCGGACCUCACGCUAUCAGAUGAGCCUAGGUCGGAUUAGCUAGUUGGUGGGGUAAAGGCCUACCAAGGCGACGAUCCGUAACUGGUCUGAGAGGAUGAUCAGUCACACUGGAACUGAGACACGGUCCAGACUCCUACGGGAGGCAGCAGUGGGGAAUAUUGGACAAUGGGCGAAAGCCUGAUGCAGCCAUGCCGCGUGUGUGAAGAAGGUCUUCGGAUUGUAAAGCACUUUUAGUUGGGAGGAAGGGCAGUAAGUUAAUACCUUGCUGUUUUGACGUUACCAAAAGAAAAAGCCACGGCUAACUUCGUG